GAUUCUAUUUGCGCGACAAUACGCCCAAAUCCUUCGAUUUCCUUGUUUUAACCGCCCUCCGAGGAACCAUCGUUGCCCAUGGCGUCUCGGCUCAAGGUCGCCGAAGGAAUGCUUAUUCUGAUAUUUUAGAAUUGUUAUUCCAUGAACCGAACCAAUGACUGAUUGGAGUUUCAUACAGGCAAUUGUUACCUUGACUAGGUUCCUCCUUCAGCCGGCGACCUCUCGUCUUCCACGGCUGCUUCAACCGUCUGACUGCAAAAGCGUCCUCCCUCUCGCACGCAGUGGUGUCGAAAAGGAACACAGUGAAGUGCAUAUUGCCAUCGUACCGGAAGACUAGGAA